rnacentral:rRNA from 1 species
CAGCAGCCGCGGUAAUACGUAGGUGGCAAGCGUUGUCCGGAAUUAUUGGGCGUAAAGGGCUCGCAGGCGGUUUCUUAAGUCUGAUGUGAAAGCCCCCGGUUCAACCGGGGAGGGUCAUUGGAAAUUGGGGAAUUUGAGUGCAGAAGAGGAGAGUGGAUUCCACGUGUAGCGGUGAAAUGCGUAGAGAUGUGGAGGACACCCAGUGGCGAAGGCGAUUUUCUGGUCUGUAACUGACGCUGAGGAGCGAAAGCGUUGGGAGCGAACAGGAUUAGAUACCCUGGUAGUCCACGCCGUAAACGAUGAGUGCUAAGUGUUAGGGGGUUUCCGCCCCUUAGUGCUGCAGCUAACGCAUUAAGCACUCCGCCUGGGGAGUACGGUCGCAAGACUGAAACUCAAAGGAAUUGAGGG